GACGAACGCUGGCGGCGUGCUUAACACAUGCAAGUCGAACGAGGUCCACCGCGUAGCAAUACAAGGGAAGACCUAGUGGCGAACGGGUGCGUAACACGUGAGGAACUUGUCCCGGUCUCUGGGAUAACAGUUGGAAACGACUGCUAAUACCGGAUGACGUCGGAGCAUCGCAUGGUGCGCUGACGAAAGGGUUACUGGAUCGGGAGAGCCUCGCGGCCUAUCAGCUUGUUGGUGGGGUAACGGCCUACCAAGGCAUCGACGGGUAGCUGGUCUGAGAGGAUGAUCAGCCACACUGGGACUGAGACACGGCCCAGACUCCUACGGGAGGCAGCAGUGGGGGAAUCUUGCGCAAUGGGCGAAAGCCUGACGCAGCAACGCCGCGUGCGGGAAGAAGGCCCUCGGGUUGUAAACCGCUUUCAGCAGGAACGAAAUGACGGUACUUGCAGAAGAAGGUGCGGCCAACUACGUGCCAGCAGCCGCGGUAAU
rnacentral:rRNA from 1 species